GACGAACGCUGGCGGCGUGCUUAACACAUGCAAGUCGAACGGAAAGGCCCCUUUGGGGGUACUCGAGUGGCGAACGGGUGAGUAACACGUGAGUAACCUUCCCUUGACUUCGGGAUAACUUCAGGAAACUGGGGCUAAUACCGGAUAGGAAUCCUUGCUGCAUGGUGGGGGUUGGAAAGCUUCGGCGGUUUUGGAUGGACUCGCGGCUUAUCAGCUUGUUGGUGGGGUAGUGGCUUACCAAGGCUUUGACGGGUAGCCGGCCUGAGAGGGCGACCGGCCACAUUGGGACUGAGAUACGGCCCAGACUCCUACGGGAGGCAGCAGUGGGGAAUAUUGCACAAUGGGCGGAAGCCUGAUGCAGCAACGCCGCGUGCGGGAUGACGGCCUUCGGGUUGUAAACCGCUUUCAGCAGGGGCGAAGCUUGUGGUGACGGUACCUGCAGAAGAAGCACCGGCUAACUACGUG
rnacentral:rRNA from 1 species